UACGAAGGGGGCUAGCGUUGCUCGGAAUCACUGGGCGUAAAGCGCACGUAGGCGGGUCGUUAAGUCAGGGGUGAAAUCCUGGAGCUCAACUCCAGAACUGCCCUUGAUACUGGCGAUCUCGAGUUCGGGAGAGGUGAGUGGAACUGCGAGUGUAGAGGUGAAAUUCGUAGAUAUUCGCAAGAACACCAAUGGCGAAGGCGGCUCACUGGCCCGAUACUGACGCUGAGGUGCGAAAGCGUGGGGAGCAAACAGG
rnacentral:rRNA from 1 species